rnacentral:precursor_RNA from 1 species
UAUGGGUGCCCACUAACGGCUUUUAAGUGCGGAGCUAAUACUCAAAAAAACUUUUCAUAAAAAGGCCGUGCGUGAUAGGCCCCAAG